rnacentral:lncRNA from 1 species
CUGUAAGUAAGGAGAACGCAUUUGGGAGAAAUCCUUUCCAAUUUCUCUGAGUACCACUUCUGCUGCUGGUCAGCUCAAAUGGGUUUUGUGCAUUUAAUGCAGAGCUCAAGUCAAGUUGGUUUAGGUCACACUUAAUUAACCAGCACACUGAUGGGCUGGGCGGCUGCAGCUCUAUGGAAAACGGUUAUUUCAGAGGCGGGCUAACAAGUAAAUAUUUCAUACGCUGAAGGAAAAGGGAAAAGGACACUUUCUCAGUCCUUGAUAAAGAAUAAGUUCUUUUCGGAGAAAACCCUAUGCGUCUGCACAAGACGUCAUUUUGGUUUCUGCUCGCCUCCUUCUCUAUUUGAGUUGAGUUUACAGCAGAUGCAUAAUAAAAAUUAAAGACAUUCCGUUCACCCUGAUGGCAAGAACUCCCUGUUCAGCCGAUAUGGUCUCAUCACUCAAACGAGAGAGGCUGCGGCCACUCUGAGUCCACGAGGCAGAGGACAAGUGACCAGAGGAAGACAUCCACCCAGCACCUGCUCUAACAAGAGGACGCCGUCUCUCAAUAUAGAGUCAUUAAGGAAGGAGGCUGCUUGGUACCGCUAAGUACAGUUUGCGAGACAGACAAUGAGGGAGACUAGAGAGACUGACAAAUUUUUGCCCAAUUUUUUUAGGAAAGUGUGCAUGGAAUUGCGAUUCAAAAUAUGAAGGUUAUUUUUAUCAGCCGCACUGAGUCAAGUCAAAAACACGCCUAAAAACUCGAAGAACUGCCUUCUGGAACAGCAUUUUUUGAGGAUGCUGAGCAGAUGGUAUGAGAUUGGCCCCAACGAUUCUGCCUGAAUUUCCCGACAUUCCAACGAGGCCCGCUAUUGGUAACCCAAGGGAACUUUCGCUCAUGGGGGAGCCGGCUUUUUAUAGGGUCUAAUUAGAAAGCACAGAAAAUUCCUACCUACAGCAUGAAAAAAAAUGCUUUUAUAAAAUAGUUUUUCCUUGACAAAUGUGUGUCAAACUCAUACAGGAAAAAAAUGAAUAUAAAUCAAAAUUGAUCGAGACGUGAGGUCGUACUUUCCUUCCAGCCAAGGAGUCUGCUGAAAUUUGGGACUACGUCUCACAAGAAGAUAAAAAACCUUAUCACACAAGAGCUGUCUGUGCUACUUACACUGCUUCCAGACUCUCUCGACCACUGAUAGGUCAGUGGUCGCCCAGCCUGGCGGCGUCCUCCUUUGUGUCCACAGACAGAAUCCCAGCUGACAUUUCAAAGAGUCGAAGAAUGAGUGUGGCUCGGGGUGCCGGUGAAAGGGGGCUCCUUAUCUAGUUUUUUGCUCCUGACACAAGCUAAUCAUCGGGGACCCUUUGAAGAUUUCCGUUCUUGUCCGGCUGUGAAAGCCGGUCAGUCGACCUCUUUGGGCUGGUCGCAAGCCGGUGCCACUGGCCUCGUCUUUCAAGGCCAGUCGUCCUUUGGAGCUUCCGUUCUGCAGAGCACUUUCCACUCAGUCCAGGCAUCCUGCGUUUGUAUGUCGCUGGCUCUGGGAAAAUUCUUUAUGAUGAAGAGACCAAAGUACCACAUUCCUCAGAUUUGAGGUCAGGGGCUUCACCUUCCACAUGAGGGCAGGAAACUGCCUUCUAAGUGCUCCAGGGACUUGCCAGCUUGUGCUCAACAUCACAGACCUCUGUAGGGCCAGGUUCCAGAAAGCGACACUCCCCAAGAACAUUAAGCCAAAGCAGGCCCUUUCCCCCUGCAUCUUCCUGUUCCUGGUAGACUAUCCCAAUCAUCUGUUUGAGUUAAUCCCCUAACGGCCCUGACUCCCUGAUGGCCUCUCAAGGUUCUGCCUCCAUCAACUUAAAUUAUUCUCCACCCCAAGCUCCUUUAAGACGCACCUCUCCAACGCUCAUAACUUUCAAGGGCUCCUAACCACCGUCCACACAGCACCCCGAACACUCUUAGAAAGAAAAGGCGUUCUAUUAUCGUCCCUUCCCUGGGAUUCCUUAGGCAGGAACCUUUGCCUCAGCAUUCUCAUUCCUUGGGAAGCCUCGCAAUAUGUCCCCUUCUCAUCAUGAAAUUACCAUCUGCCCCGACAUGUCUGGGAAAUAUUCCCUGGCUAAUCCAGCCAAUUACUGAUAGUAUCACUGAUUGCUGACUGACUAUCUCCAUCUCUCCCUCCAUUCAGCACCUGCAGUUGGGUUCCUCUGCGUGUCUGAUGCUAUGCCAGCCAGCAGUAACGGUGACCAGGUAAGACGGUGGUUCUCACUUUCCUCCUCGGCUCAAGUCUGACACCAGUAAGCACAAAGUCUGUCAGCUGAAUGCUCUUCCCUUUGCCUUUUAGUAUCAUAUUCUCCUCAAGGGUCUGACGCAGAGGAGGCUUUUUGGCCCUGUCUCCUACCUUCCACCUCAGUGUCCUCUUUUGCUCCUUGUCAGCUUCUUACCUUCCGAAACAGCCUGGGUGGCUUUCGGUUCCGUGGAGGGGCCCCCUCAGUCCUGACAGGACCUUUUACCCUGUAAGUUUUGUCGUGCAAGGCAGGAGAGAGGACAAACAGGAAUCACGAGGCGUUUCCUUGCUGUCAGGGGUUUGCAGUGUUAAGUAGAAGGUGAUGGUUUACACCCUAGACAACGGAAUGGCUCAAGGACACCAUGAGAUAAAGUACCAAACGCAGCGCGAUCAGGUUGGAUGACAGUGACGAAACAAACAUGUAGAGACUGUCGAGGGUACCAGGAGGGAGAAAUGAAGACUGGCUGGCGUUUUUCAGAAGCUUCUCACUCCUUACAGUAACCCACGGGUUUCUGCAAAUUUGUCACGAAUUGAAGCUUUGCCAGACGACGGUCGGGAAGCCUGGCGGUCCGGCCUGGGUCCUGCUGGGGUGAGGAGGAACGAGAAAUCCGAGGAAGACGGGGUCUUUAAUGCAAGGGGGUCAGGGAAAAAGUAAGCCGAAAAGCAUGAGACCUGGGAACUGCAUUGAAGAUAAUACCAGUACCAGUACUAGUACUGCACUUAAGAUAAUACUAAUCCUCGCACACAAAAGUACGAGAUUUCUUAGUGUAUCUCCGAAACCCAGCCUCUUGCCAUCAAAAAUGGAAACAGAAUCGAGAGGCAAAUGGCUGAGGCACCAAGCACCUCACGUUGGUUCACCUGUUAGGAUUUUUAAGUCAGGUCAGGACCACGCCCUUAUCUUCUGUAGUUUUUCGAAAUAUAUUUUCAGAAAUUAUUAACUUAUUAUCUUUCUUAUUAAAAACGCUGGCUCAUGGCAAAGCAUAAUAUAAACUCUUAAC